rnacentral:rRNA from 1 species
GAUGAACGCUGGCGGCGUGCCUAAUACAUGCAAGUCGAGCGAACAGACGAGGAGCUUGCUCCUCUGACGUUAGCGGCGGACGGGUGAGUAACACGUGGAUAACCUACCUAUAAGACUGGGAUAACUUCGGGAAACCGGAGCUAAUGCCGGAUAAUAUAUUGAACCGCAUGGUUCAAUAGUGAAAGACGGUUUUGCUGUCACUUAUAGAUGGAUCCGCGCCGCAUUAGCUAGUUGGUAAGGUAACGGCUUACCAAGGCAACGAUGCGUAGCCGACCUGAGAGGGUGAUCGGCCACACUGGAACUGAGACACGGUCCAGACUCCUACGGGAGGCGGCAGUAGGGAAUCUUCCGCAAUGGGCGAAAGCUUGACGGAGCAACGCCGCGUGAGUGAUGAAGGUCUUCGGAUCGUAAAACUCUGUUAUUAGGGAAGAACAAAUGUGUAAGUAACUAUGCACGUCUUGACGGUACCUAAUCAGAAAGCCACGGCUAACUACGUG